rnacentral:rRNA from 1 species
UACGUAGGGUACGAGCGUUGUCCGGAAUUACUGGGCGUAAAGAGCUCGUAGGUGGUUUGUCGCGUUGUUCGUGAAAACUCACAGCUUAACUGUGGGCGUGCGGGCGAUACGGGCAGACUGGAGUACUGCAGGGGAGACUGGAAUUCCUGGUGUAGCGGUGGAAUGCGCAGAUAUCAGGAGGAACACCGGUGGCGAAGGCGGGUCUCUGGGCAGUAACUGACGCUGAGGAGCGAAAGCGUGGGGAGCGAACAGG